GCUGUGUGUACCAAAGUUUAAUUUCCCACCCCUUCGUUUCACACUUAACAUUUUUGCUAAGUUAACUAAGUGAUAACAGCGCAUAUACUACUACAUACACACUUCACUUUUAAUUUAUUCCCAAAUUCACUUUUAACCUAAGAUAACCAUCGCGAUGAAGCAAGCCGCCGUCGUACCCAUCAGCAAGCCGUCGCACCAAGUUCAUCACUGCAGAUCGAUCACUGUCGCACCACCCAGCUCGAUCGCCGUCGCACCAAUGUUCAUCUAACCCUCACAUCAGGCCUUCAUCUAACCGUCACACCCAGCCCUCUUUCUGUCGCACCUAACCCUCGCACCAUCAACGGUCUCUCGCACCUUACUCGCAAACGGUCGCAAACCCUCGCAAACCCAAGCCUCUGCCUCGCAAACCCUCGCAAACCCAACCCUCUGUCUCUGUCUGUCUCAAUGGUCUCUCCCUCAGUCGGUAUCUCGGCAUGCCCAGGCAUCGGUGUGGCCUCCUACUCGUAAACCCUUGCAAACCCAACCCUCUGUCUCUGUUUUAGUGGUCUCUUCCUUAAUCGGCACCGUAAACACACUGAUAAGUCUUUCUACACAAACCAGAAAACAAGUCAUGAAAGAAUAAAAAAAAAUCAAGGUUGUGAACAAAAUUGGUAAAACUGUGUCUGAAAAUAUUUUUAGAAUCCUCAUAUUCAUAUCAUACAUACCAAGGUCACGAGAUCUUUACAAAGAUUCUGAGGAAUUGAAGAAGAAAAAGAAUCUAACCCUGGAGCACUAUACAAACUACAAAGCCUCAGAUCUUAAAACUGUUGUUCUUGCACUUGUAGCUUUGCAGCUCAACACCAAAGCCAGUUCCCUGAAUGCUAUACGUGAAAAGUAUAAAUAACAUAAGUGGAUUUGAUUCGUUGAUGUGCAAAAGUAGGCAGCGGCUAAGAGAGGAGGCAAGGUGGUUGCUUUGUUGAAAUAAUUAUGUAGGUGUGAAACAUGAAGCAUUCAUGCUUGGAGCUUCCAAGGGAAAGCACACAAACAAAGAAUUUGAUCUUUUCAUUACCACUUCACCAAUACCAGAUCUAAAUGAGAAGCUUAUUGUGUUGGGGCGAGUCAUCAAGGGAAAAUAAGGAUGUUCAGCUUCAAGCUAGGGCCAGAGGUACUGAGAGCAUGAACUGGGAUGCAAUGGUUAUGCAGAUGUAUAAAUCAAUAUAUUCAUAAACUAUAUAUAUUUGCAUUGCAUGAUAUAUUUUUAAUGAAUCUUACUCUUACCAAAAGAUUUAGUUAGUUCAUAAAUUUGAUGUAUAUAUAUAUAUUGUUUUAGUGAGUUGUGUAUUGUUAGAACUUUUAUAAAAACUCUCUAUAAUCAUAUAAAUAAACAAAAAGCAUUUCAUCA